UACGACCACAUCACGUUGAAACACUGGUUUCCGUAUGAUCACCGACGUUAAGCACCAUCGAGUCUGGUCAGUGCCUAGAGGGUAACCGUUUGGGAAUACCAGAUGAUG